UCGGCGUGACCCCUGACCCCGGAAGAGAUCGGGACUUUCCCUCCCUGCUGGGGGGGAGAAACCAUCCGGGACGGGGGCGGACAUCGGGGAGAAACCAUCGCGGGGAGAGGGGGACUGAAGCCGGGCUGCUGGGCAUUGUACAGCCAGAGCGGGGGAGCCCCUGACUGUGGGGGCAGGACACCCCUUCAUGGGGGGGGAGCCCCUGAUUGUGGGGGCAGGACACCCCUUCAUGGGGGGGGAGCCCCUGAUUGUGGGGGCAGGACACCCCUUCAUGGGAGGGGAGCCCCUGAUUGUGGAGGCAGGACACCCCUUCAUGGGGGGGGAGCCCCUGAUUGUGGGGGCAGGACACCCCUUCAUGGGAGGGGAGCCCCUGUUUGUGGAGGCAGGACACCCCUUCAUGGGGAGGGGGAGCCCCUGGUCGUGGGGGCAGGACACCCCUUCAUGGGGGGGAGCCCCUGAUUGUGGGAGCAGGACACCCCUUCAUGGGGAGGGGGAGCGCCUGAUUGUGGGAGCAGGACACCCCUUCAUGGGGGGAGCCCCAUUUGUGGGGGGGAGGACCCCUACGUGGGGACAGAUGGCACCCCCCCUCUCACUGCCCCUUCGCUAGGAAGGGUCUCAUGUAAGGGGCUCCCUGCGGGGAUGGGCGCGGUGCAGGCAGACACUGGCAUAGGGCAGGAUCUCUCCAGGCUAAGGAAUCUGCGGAGGUGCCAGCAUCCUGGUUCCUGCUUGGCUCAAGGAGAUAGGAGCCCUCGGACACCGCCCGUCCCCCCAAUAAUAUAACGUGAGGGUGAGCUGGUGCCUGCUCUCCGUGCUGCGGAUGGCCCCCCUUCUCCUGAUCAGGGCUGUCGGCUGGAUUGUCAACGUUCUCAGCUGACUGGGACGAGCUGUGAUCUGAGCACGGGACCAGGAACUUGUCCUGAGGUCCAAGAAGCAGGGUGGGCAGAGGCCUGGGAGAAUGGACAACUGUCUGUCUAGAAAUGGUCCAAGGCUUUCAUCAGCCUCCAUUCUCCCUUCGGAGCCUCAGCAGUUCGCCUCAAACUCAUCAGGCCCAUCUUGCUUACACUGGGGCAAAUCAUGAGUAGCUACUGAAGUUAGUGGACUUGCUUUGCUGCAAAGCAGGCAUCACUGAGAGGAGAAUCAGGCCCUUCAGGCUGUGGGGUGAGCACAGGCGCUUGGAAAGAGAUGGAUUGCAUAUCACCUGACUUUCAGCUCAUUUGCUGCAGGUGUGGCUCCAUAUCACAAAAACCCACCACCACUUCACCUCCUUGUUGAAAGCCUCAGCAGAGAAGUGAAAGACUGACUGGAUCCUGACUGCCCCUCUGACUCUGAGAGGGGAGCCUGGCAGGUCAGUAUGAUGAAGCUUGCACAGGUGCUGCCCAUCCUGUACCUAGCCCUAUUUCCCCUGCCUUUCCCAUCCUUGUACAGAGAGCCUAACAGCCAUUGUUCUGAGUCUCAGACAAGAACCUGCUCUUUCACCAUCUGGCGCUGCAGUGACUCCAGCCCACGCUCCCUCUGUCACCAUCUCUGUGGCUCUCCAAGGCCCUAGCACCCUAUGGAGCACAAGGGAUUGCAAGUUGCGGCCAAGUCUUCUGCUUACCAGCAGGGAGGCAUUAACUUCUACAUCAGCCCCACACACUUACUGUACCCUGCUGGGAGGCCUUGGCCCUUGGUGACAGAAGGAGGACUAGCCAGGCCUAUUGUAUCUGAGUGUCUCCUCCUUUACCCUCUCCCAUUAAAACACACUGCAAAAAUUUAUUUACAAAGCUUUAUUACCGCAAUGAGGUGCACGGAAGGGGCGAUGCUCAAUACAGGAUCAAAGAGUACAGAGAGAGAGAGAGAGACCUAAACUAGACUAAGAAGCUGCCUCUUGCUCGUAGUCCCCAUUAGGGAUGAUAUAACCAUGGAAAACAGCAUUCUGGAUUUGGCAAACAGGAACUUCUUGCAUGUUCCAUGUUAACGUUCCCACCCAAGGGGCUGGUUCAAAUCCAGCUCAAGCCACUAGCCACUGUAAGCUGUGUGGUGGCUCCUGUGAAACAAGUUAGUGGGUUCUUGGCUCAGGUCCCAGGAGAUAAGUGGC